UUCCACCAAGGCUCCCAGUAGUUUCAUUGUUGUGUAACAGAAACACAAUAUAAACUCAUCAAGAGAUUGAUGUGUAAAAUUGCUGACAUCUGCAAGUGGAAUGCUUUUUGGCCGUAAAUAAUCUCAUUUUUACUUUUUUAAAUGUUAUGCAUAGAGGUGUUUUGUUUACAUGCAUGUCUAUGCUUCAUGUGUGCCUAAUGCCCAAGGAGAUCAGAGGAGAGUAUCAGAUUCUCUGGACUGGAGUUACAUAUGGUAGCAAUCCAUCAUCGAGAUGCUGGGAAUCAAACCCAGGACCUCUAGAAGAAUAAGUACUCUUAACCACUGAGAAGUCGCUCCAGUCCCCCCCACACCAAAAAGAAAGAAAGAAAGAAAGAAAGAAAGAAAGAAAGAAAGAAAGAAAGAGAGAGAGAGAGAGAGAAAGAGAAAGAAAGAAAGAAAGAAAGAAAGAAAGAAAGAAAGAAAGAAAGAAAGGAAGGAAGGAAGGAAGGAAGGAAGGAAGGAAGGAAGGAAGGAAGGAAGGAAGGAAGGAAAGAAAAAGAAGAGGAAAAAGAAAAAGAAAAACGAUUUUUUUUCGAGGACAGGGUUUCUCUGUGUAGCCUUGACCGUCCUGGAACUCCCUCUGUAGACCAAGCUGGCCCCGAACUCAGAGAGAUCACCUGCCUCUGUGCUGCUGGGGUCAAAGGCAAUUGCUACCACUGCCUGGUGUAAAAUAAAAUAAAAUAAUAAAUGUGUUUAAAUACAGAUACAAGAUCUUCAUCAAAAGAGUUUCUAAAGCAGC
rnacentral:lncRNA from 1 species